rnacentral:tRNA from 1 species
ACGACCGCUCGCGCACGGCCGUCAUCGUCGACGAGUCCGGCUCGUCGAGCCCGUUCUCGCGCUGGGCGCGGGCGCUCGGCUUCGCCCCGGUCGAGC